CCUACGGGGGGCAGCAGUGGGGGAUAUUGCACAAUGGGGGAAACCCUGAUGCAGCGACGCCGCGUGAGUGAAGAAGUAUUUCGGUAUGUAAAGCUCUAUCAGCAGGGAAGAAAAUGACAGUACCUGACCAAGAAGCCCCGGCUAACUACGUGCCAGCAGCCGCGGUAAUACGUAGGGGGCAAGCGUUAUCCGGAUUUACUGGGUGUAAAGGGAGCGUAGACGGUUAUGUAAGUCUGGAGUGAAAGCCCGGGGCCCAACCCCGGGACUGCUUUGGAAACUGUGUAACUGGAGUACAGGAGGGGCAGGCGGAAUUCCUGGUGUAGCGGUGAAAUCCGUAGAGAUCAAGAGGAAUACUCAUUGCGAAGGCGACCUGCUGGAACAUUACUGACGCUGAUGCACGAAAGCGUGGGGAGCAAACAGGAUUAGAUACCCCAGUAGUC
rnacentral:rRNA from 1 species